rnacentral:rRNA from 1 species
CGUAGCCGCGGUAAUACGUAGGUGGCAAGCGUUGCUCGGAAUUACUGGGCGUAAAGGGAGCGUAGGCGGAUCGUUUAGUCAGGGGUGAAAUCCCGGGGCUCAACCUCGGAACCGCCUUUGAUACUGGCGAUCUUGAGUAUGGGAGAGGUGUGUGGAACUCCGAGUGUAGAGGUGAAAUUCGUAGAUAUUCGGAAGAACACCAGUGGCGAAGGCGACACACUGGCCCAUUACUGACGCUGAGGCUCGAAAGCGUGGGGAGCAAACAGGAUUAGAUACCCCCGUAGUCCCUGUCUCUUAUACA